rnacentral:rRNA from 2 species
GGGUUGUGAGGUUAAGCGACUAAGCGUACACGGUGGAUGCCCUGGCAGUCAGAGGCGAUGAAGGGCGUGCUAAUCUGCGAUAAGCGCCGGUAAGGUGAUAUGAACCGUUAUAACCGGCGAUACCCGAAUGGGGAAACCCAGUGUGAUUCGUCACACUAUCAUUAACUGAAUCCAUAGGUUAAUGAGGCGAACCGGGGGAACUGAAACAUCUAAGUACCCCGAGGAAAAGAAAUCAACCGAGAUUCCCCCAGUAGCGGCGAGCGAACGGGGAGGAGCCCAGAGCCUGAAUCAGCAUGUGUGUUAGUGGAAGCGUCUGGAAAGGUGCGCGAUACAGGGUGACAGCCCCGUACACAAAAGCGCAUGUGCUGUGAGCUCGAUGAGUAGGGCGGGACACGUGGUAUCCUGUCUGAAUAUGGGGGGACCAUCCUCCAAGGCUAAAUACUCCUGACUGACCGAUAGUGAACCAGUACCGUGAGGGAAAGGCGAAAAGAACCCCGGCGAGGGGAGUGAAAAAGAACCUGAAACCGUGUACGUACAAGCAGUGGGAGCACAGGUUUACCUGUGUGACUGCGUACCUUUUGUAUAAUGGGUCAGCGACUUAUAUUCUGUAGCAAGGUUAACCGAAUAGGGGAGCCGGAGGGAAACCGAGUCUUAAUUGGGCGUUAAGUUGCAGGGUAUAGACCCGAAACCCGGUGAUCUAGCCAUGGGCAGGUUGAAGGUUGGGUAACACUAACUGGAGGACCGAACCGACUAAUGUUGAAAAAUUAGCGGAUGACCUGUGGCUGGGGGUGAAAGGCCAAUCAAACCGGGAGAUAGCUGGUUCUCCCCGAAAGCUAUUUAGGUAGCGCCUCGUGAAUUCAUCUCCGGGGGUAGAGCACUGUUUCGGCUAGGGGGCCAUCCCGGCUUACCAACCCGAUGCAAACUGCGAAUACCGGAGAAUGUUAUCACGGGAGACACACGGCGGGUGCUAACGUCCGUCGUGAAGAGGGAAACAACCCAGACCGCCAGCUAAGGUCCCAAAGUCAUGGUUAAGUGGGAAACGAUGUGGGAAGGCCCAGACAGCCAGGAUGUUGGCUUAGAAGCAGCCAUCAUUUAAAGAAAGCGUAAUAGCUCACUGGUCGAGUCGGCCUGCGCGGAAGAUGUAACGGGGCUAAACCAUGCACCGAAGCUGCGGCAGCGAACGUAUCACCCAAGACAACUUUACGGAGUUGACGAUUGACGGAGCGAAGCGACGUCAAAGCGUUCAUUAAAGUCGAGUUGGCUUAGGGAUACGUUCGUUGGGUAGGGGAGCGUUCUGUAAGCCUGUGAAGGUGUGUCGUGAGGCAUGCUGGAGGUAUCAGAAGUGCGAAUGCUGACAUAAGUAACGAUAAAGCGGGUGAAAAGCCCGCUCGCCGGAAGACCAAGGGUUCCUGUCCAACGUUAAUCGGGGCAGGGUGAGUCGACCCCUAAGGCGAGGCCGAAAGGCGUAGUCGAUGGGAAACGGGUUAAUAUUCCCGUACUUGGUGUUACUGCGAAGGGGGGACGGAGAAGGCUAUGUUGGCCGGGCGACGGUUGUCCCGGUUUAAGCGUGUAGGUGUGUGUUCCAGGUAAAUCCGGUUCACUUUAACACUGAGGCGUGACGACGAGGCACUACGGUGCUGAAGCAACAAAUGCCCUGCUUCCAGGAAAAGCCUCUAAGCAUCAGGUAACACGAAAUCGUACCCCAAACCGACACAGGUGGUCAGGUAGAGAAUACCAAGGCGCUUGAGAGAACUCGGGUGAAGGAACUAGGCAAAAUGGUGCCGUAACUUCGGGAGAAGGCACGCUGACACGUAGGUGAAGUGAUUUACUCAUGGAGCUGAAGUCAGUCGAAGAUACCAGCUGGCUGCAACUGUUUAUUAAAAACACAGCACUGUGCAAACACGAAAGUGGACGUAUACGGUGUGACGCCUGCCCGGUGCCGGAAGGUUAAUUGAUGGGGUCAGCGCAAGCGAAGCUCCUGAUCGAAGCCCCGGUAAACGGCGGCCGUAACUAUAACGGUCCUAAGGUAGCGAAAUUCCUUGUCGGGUAAGUUCCGACCUGCACGAAUGGCGUAAUGAUGGCCAGGCUGUCUCCACCCGAGACUCAGUGAAAUUGAACUCGCUGUGAAGAUGCAGUGUACCCGCGGCAAGACGGAAAGACCCCGUGAACCUUUACUAUAGCUUGACACUGAACAUUGAGCCUUGAUGUGUAGGAUAGGUGGGAGGCUUUGAAGUGUGGACGCCAGUCUGCAUGGAGCCGACCUUGAAAUACCACCCUUUAAUGUUUGAUGUUCUAACGUGGACCCGUAAUCCGGGUUGCGGACAGUGUCUGGUGGGUAGUUUGACUGGGGCGGUCUCCUCCUAAAGAGUAACGGAGGAGCACGAAGGUUGGCUAAUCCUGGUCGGACAUCAGGAGGUUAGUGCAAUGGCAUAAGCCAGCUUGACUGCGAGCGUGACGGCGCGAGCAGGUGCGAAAGCAGGUCAUAGUGAUCCGGUGGUUCUGAAUGGAAGGGCCAUCGCUCAACGGAUAAAAGGUACUCCGGGGAUAACAGGCUGAUACCGCCCAAGAGUUCAUAUCGACGGCGGUGUUUGGCACCUCGAUGUCGGCUCAUCACAUCCUGGGGCUGAAGUAGGUCCCAAGGGUAUGGCUGUUCGCCAUUUAAAGUGGUACGCGAGCUGGGUUUAGAACGUCGUGAGACAGUUCGGUCCCUAUCUGCCGUGGGCGCUGGAGAACUGAGGGGGGCUGCUCCUAGUACGAGAGGACCGGAGUGGACGCAUCACUGGUGUUCGGGUUGUCAUGCCAAUGGCACUGCCCGGUAGCUAAAUGCGGAAGAGAUAAGUGCUGAAAGCAUCUAAGCACGAAACUUGCCCCGAGAUGAGUUCUCCCUGAGACUUAGAGUCUCCUGAAGGAACGUUGAAGACGACGACGUUGAUAGGCCGGGUGUGUAAGCGCAGCGAUGCGUUGAGCUAACCGGUACUAAUGAACCGUGAGGCUUAACCUUACAACGCCGAAG